GACGCUCUUCUUCUCGUCUUUUCCUUUCUUCAUCCUGGCGAAGUUGAUCGAUGACCCCUUUUUGGAGUAACUCCUGCAUCUGAAUCUGGAGGGUUCGUAGUAUGGUCCUAUGCUCUUCAGAGAUAUCAUUGUUGUUGUUUGCCGUUGAGCCCAUCUUCAAGCGUUGGGAUCUUUGGGUCUGGGAAUAAUGAUUACUCGGCCCCACGGUGGGCGCCAAUUGUACCUGUAUGGAUAUUGGGGACUGAGUAAUGUUGGUCCACGUCGAUACAAGGUGUCUGCUUCAGUCUUAGUUGUCUUGU
rnacentral:lncRNA from 1 species